UGCGCAGGCGGAUAUGUAAGUCAGUGGUGAAAUCUCCGGGCUUAACCCGGAAAUUGCCGUUGAUACUAUAUAUCUUGAAUGCUGUGGAGGUAAGCAGAAUAUGUCAUGUAGCGGUGAAAUGCUUAGAGAUGACAUAGAAUACCUAUUGCGAAGGCAGCUUACUACGCAGAUAUUGACGCUCAUGCACGAAAGCGUGGGGAUCAAACAGGAUUAGAUACCCUGGUAGUCCACGCCCUAAACGAUGAUUACUCGACAUACGCGAUACACUGUGUGUGUCUGAGCGAAAGCAUUAAGUAAUCCACCUGGGAAGUACGAUCGCAAGAUUGAA
rnacentral:rRNA from 1 species